GGGUGGUUGGCUCAGUGGUAGAGCGUCUGCCUUACAAGCAGAGGGUCACUGGUUCGAAUCCAGUACUACCCAGUC
rnacentral:tRNA from 2 species